GUUAGUUGGUGAGGUAACGGCUCACCAAGACUUCGAUGGGUAGCCGGCCUGAGAGGGUGAACGGCCACACUGGAACUGAGACACGGUCCAGACUCCUACGGGAGGCAGCAGUGGGGAAUAUUGCACAAUGGAGGAAACUCUGAUGCAGCGACGCCGCGUGAACGAUGAAGGCCUUCGGGUCGUAAAGUUCUGUCCUAGGGGACGAUAAUGACGGUACCCUAGGAGGAAGCCCCGGCUAACUACGUGCCAGCAGCCGCGGUAAUACGUAGGGGGCAAGCGUUGUCCGGAUUUAUUGGGCGUAAAGGGUUCGCAGGCGGCCUUUUAAGUCAGAUGUGAAAGCCCACGGCUCAACCGUGGUAAGCAUUUGAAACUGGAAGGCUUGAGUUAAGGAGAGGAAAGUGGAAUUCCUAGUGUAGCGGUGAAAUGCGUAGAUAUUAGGAGGAAUACCAGUGGCGAAGGCGACUUUCUGGACUUAUACUGACGCUGAGGAACGAAAGCGUGGGGAGCAAACAGGAUUAGAUACCCUGGUAGUCCACGCCGUAAACGAUGAGUGCUAGGUGUUGGGGGUCAAACCUCGGUGCCGCAGCUAACGCAUUA
rnacentral:rRNA from 1 species